GACAGAGGUCUCGAGCGUUAGGCGGAAUCACUGGGCUUAAAGCGUGUGUAGGCGGACUUGUAAGUACCUUGUGAAAUCCCACGGCUCAACCGUGGAACUGCUUGGUAUACUGCUUGUCUUGGGCCAUCUAGGGGUUACCGGAACAAACGGUGGAGCGGUGAAAUGCGUAGAUAUGCGGAGGAACACCGAUGGCGAAGGCAAUCCCCUGGGCCUGCACUGACGCUCAUGCACGAAAGCGUGGGGAGCAAACAGG
rnacentral:rRNA from 1 species